rnacentral:rRNA from 1 species
GUSUACCAUGCACGUCGAGCGGUACAGGUCCAUCUUGCUGGAGGCUGACGAGCGGCGGACGGGUGAGUAACGCAUGCUAGUCCUCCCGGUUGUGGGGGAUAACCUGGGGUGAAACCCAGGCUAAUACGGUGACAGGAGGCGUGCGUCCUACGCGAGAAAGGGGGUUUUCGCUCCCGCUCUUGGAUGAGACUAUGCCGGAUUAGCUGGUUGGUGAGUGAAUGGCUCACACUCGCAACCAUCCCGUAGCUGGCUUGAGAGGAUGAUCUCCCACUCCCGGGCUCACACACCGUUCUAMCUCCCAUUGGAGGUAGCACKUGUGAAUCYYKACCMAUGGGGGGCAUGAUGAGCAGCCCUGAUCCACACCUGCCGCGUGUGUGAAGAAGGCCCUCUCGUUGUAAUUCCCCCACUUUCAGCAAGGGAAGGAAGAAAGCCUGUUUGUUAAUACCCGGCAGGAAACCCCACUCUCACAAAAGAAGCACCGGCUAACUCCGGGCCACCCGCCGCGGUAAUACGGAGGGUGCAAGCGUUAAUCGGCAAAUUUCACUGGGCGUAAAGCGCGCGUAGGUGGCUUGAUAAGCCGGUUGUGAAAGCCCCGGGCUCCACCUGGGAACGGCAUCCCGAACUUUCAGGCUAGAGUGCAAGAGAGGAAGGUACUAUUCCCGGUGUAUCAAUUAAAUGCUUAUAGAUCGGGAGGAAUACAAAKGGCGAAGGCGGCCUUCUGGACUGACACUGUCAAUGACGUGCGAAAGCGUGGGUAGCAAACMCGAUUAGAUACCCUGGUUUUCCACGCCGUAACGAUGUCCACCAGAAGUUGGGCGCCUAGCGUACUUCCUGGCGGAAUUCCCGCGAUAAGUACACCGUUUGGCCAGUACGGCCGCAAGGUUAAAACUCGAAUGAAUUGACGGCGGCCCCACAAGCGAUGGAGCCUGUGAAUUUAUCCUAUGCUA